rnacentral:rRNA from 1 species
CCUACGGGAGGCAGCAGUGAGGAAUAUUGGUCAAUGGCCGUAAGGCUGAACCAGCCAAGUAGCGUGAGGGAAGACUGCCCUAUGGGUUGUAAACCUCUUUUAUGCGGGGAUAAAGGUGUCACGUGUGGACUUUUGCAAGUACCGCAUGAAAAAGGACCGGGUUAAUUCGGUCCAGCAGCCGGGGUAAUACGGGAGGUCCGGGCGUUAUUCGGAUUUAUUGGGUUUAAAGGGAGCGUAGGCGGGUCUUUAAGCGGGCCGGGAAAUUUUGUGGCUCAACCAUGAGAGUGCGGCGCGAACUGGAGGCCUUGAGUGCGCGGAAGGCAGGCGGAAUUCGUGGUGUAGCGGUGAAAUGCUUAGAUAUCACGAAGAACCCCGAUUGCGAAGGCAGCCUGCCGAAGCGUUACUGACGCUGAAGCUCGAAAGCGCGGGUAUCGAACAGGAUUAGAUACCCCAGUAGUC